UACGGGGGGAGCAAGCGUUGUUCGGAUUUACUGGGCGUAAAGGGCGCGUAGGCGGUCAGCACAAGUCAGUUGUGAAAUCUCCGGGCUUAACUCGGAAAGGUCAACUGAUACUGUGCGACUAGAGUGCAGAAGGGGCAACUGGAAUUCUCGGUGUAGCGGUGAAAUGCGUAGAUAUCGAGAGGAACACCUGCGGCGAAGGCGGGUUGCUGGGCUGACACUGACGCUGAGGCGCGAAAGCCAGGGGAGCAAACGGG
rnacentral:rRNA from 1 species